GACGAACGCUGGCGGCGUGCUUAACACAUGCAAGUCGAACGGAAAGGCCCUGCUUUUGUGGGGUGCUCGAGUGGCGAACGGGUGCGUAUCACGUGUGUAACCUGCCCUUGUCUUUGGGGUAACUUCAGGAAACUGGGGUUAAUCUAGGAUAGGAGCUCCUGCUCCAUGGUGAGCGUUGGAACGUCUCGGCGGUCGGGGAUGGACUCGCGGCUUACCAGCUUGCUGGUGGGGUAGUGGCUUACCCAGCCUUUGACGGGUAGGCGGCCUGGGAGGGUGACCGGGGACAAGAGUACUGAGGGAGGGAGCAGUGUCGAACAUUAGGCAAUGGGCGGAAAUAUUGCACAAUGAGCGGAAGCGUGAUGCAACAGCGCCGCGUGCGGAAAGACGUCCUUCUGGGAAAAAACCGCUGUCGCCUGAGACGAAGCGUUAGUGACGGUAAUGAAUAAAUAAGCACCGGCUAACUACGUG
rnacentral:rRNA from 1 species